GGAAUGUGCUAGAACAGUUGAGGGAGUCAGAGUUAGAGUCUGAGUCAGUCAGAGUCAGUCAGAGUUAGAGCCAGUCAGAGUCAGAGCCAGUCAGAGUCAGAGUUGGUGUCAGAGUCGGUGUCAGUCAGAGCCAGUCAGAGUCAGAGCCCGUCAGAGUCAGAGUUAGAGCCCUUCAGAGUCAGAGCCAGUCAGAGUCAGAGCCAGUCAGAGUCAGAGCCCGUCAGAGUCAGAGCCCAUCAGAGUCAGAGUUAGAGCCAGUCAGAGUCAGAGCCGGUGUCAGAGUCGGUGUCAGAGCCAGUCAGAGUUAGAGCCAGUCAGAGUUAGAGCCAGUCAGAGUCAGAGCCAGUCAGAGUCAGAGUCGGUGUCAGAGUCAGAGUCGGUGUCAGAGUUAGAGCCAGUCAGAGUUAGAGCCAGUCAGAGUCAGAGCCCGUCAGAGUCAGAGUUAGAGCCAGUCAGAGUCAG
ensembl:lncRNA